AUUGAACGCUGGCGGCAUGCUUUACACAUGCAAGUCGAGCGGCAGCGCGGGGGCAACCCUGGCGGCGAGCGGCGAACGGGUGAGUAAUGCAUCGGAACGUAUCCUCGAGUGGGGGAUAACCCAGAGAAAGUUGGGCUAAUACCGCAUGAGCUCUGAGGAGGAAAGCGGGGGACCUGCGAGGGCCUCGCGCUGGAGGAGCGGCCGAUGUCCGAUUAGCUAGUUGGUGGGGUAAAGGCUUACCAAGGCGACGAUCGGUAGCUGGUCUGAGAGGAUGAUCAGCCACACUGGGACUGAGACACGGCCCAGACUCCUACGGGAGGCAGCAGUGGGGAAUUUUGGACAAUGGGGGCAACCCUGAUCCAGCCAUGCCGCGUGAGUGAAGAAGGCCUUCGGGUUGUAAAGCUCUUUCGGACGGAACGAAAUGGGCGGGACUAAUACUCCUGUCUGAUGACGGUACCGUAAGAAGAAGCACCGGCUAACUACGUG
rnacentral:rRNA from 1 species